rnacentral:rRNA from 1 species
AACGUAGGAGGCAAGCGUUAUCCGGAUUUACUGGGCGUAAAGCGCACGCAGGCGGUCGCGUAAGUCGGACGUGAAAGCUCCUGGCUCAACUGGGAGAGGUCGUUCGGAACUGCGCGGCUUGAGGUUGGAAGAGGAGAGCGGAAUUCCCGGUGUAGUGGUGGAAUGCGUAGAUAUCGGGAGGAACACCAGUGGCGAAAGCGGCUCUCUGGUCCACACCUGACGCUCAGGUGCGAAAGCGUGGGUAGCGAAC